UACGUAGGGAGCGAGCGUUAAUCGGAAUUACUGGGCGUAAAGCGUGCGCAGGCGGUUCGUGAUGUCUGGUGUGAAAGCCCCGGGCUUAACCUGGGAAUUGCAUUGGAAACUAGCGGGCUGGAGUGUGGCAGAGGGGGGUGGAAUUCCACGUGUAGCAGUGAAAUGCGUAGAGAUGUGGAGGAACACCGAUGGCGAAGGCAGCCCCCUGGGCUAACACUGACGCUCAUGCACGAAAGCGUGGGGAGCAAACAGG
rnacentral:rRNA from 1 species